AGACCUUGUGGUGAAGUUCAUGUUAAAUUGCAAAUUUGAAGAUAYAYCUUUAUUGGUGUCUGGGUUUUCC
rnacentral:tRNA from 1 species